rnacentral:misc_RNA from 1 species
GAGGUAUUGGAGCUUGCUGGGAAUGCAGCAAGAGAUAACAAGAAGAACCGUAUUGUGCCAAGGCACAUUCAGCUUGCUGUGAGGAACGAUGAGGAGCUGAGCAAGCUUCUGGGCUCUGUUACCAUUGCCAAUGGUGGUGUGUUGCCUAACAUUCACCAGACUCUCCUUCCUAAGAAGAUUGGCAAGGGCAAAGACGAUAUUGGAUCUGCCUCUCAAGAGUUCUAGGUCUUUUCCCUCAGUAUCUAGUUUUCUUUAGGAAUUCUACAUUUGUAAAAUAUUCAAUUUUGGUUUUCUACUUGGUUUACUAUGGUAU